UACAGAGACUGCAAGCGUUGUUCGGAAUCACUGGGCGUAAAGGGCGCGUAGGCGGCCAGGCAAGUCGGCUUGUGAAAGCCCGGGGCUCAACCCCGGAGGUGCGGCCGGGACUGCUUGGCUGGAGGCCGGAAGAGGAGGGUGGAAUACCCAGUGUAGAGGUGAAAUUCGUAGAUAUUGGGUGGAACACCGGUGGCGAAAGCGGCUCUCUGGUCCGGACCUGACGCUGAGGCGCGAAAGCGUGGGGAGCAAACAGG
rnacentral:rRNA from 1 species